GUAGGUGGCAAGCGUUGUCCGAAAUUAUUGGGCGUAAAGCGCGCGCAGGCGGUUCUUUAAGUCUGAUGUGAAAGCCCACGGCUCAACCGUGGAGGGUCAUUGGAAACUGGAGAACUUGAGUACAGAAGAGGAAAGCGGAAUUCCACGUGUAGCGGUGAAAUGCGUAGAGAUGUGGAGGAACACCAGUGGCGAAGGCGGCUUUCUGGUCUGUAACUGACGCUGAGGCGCGAAAGCGUGGGGAGCAAACAGGAUUAGAUACCCUGGUAGUCCACGCCGUAAACGAUGAGUGCUAAGUGUUAGGGGGUUUCCGCCCCCCUUAGUGCUGCAGCUAACGCAUUAAGCACUCCGCCUGAGGAGUACGGCCGCAAGGCUG
rnacentral:rRNA from 1 species